AUCUCCCCUGGAGGUUCCUCAAACACUUCAUUGGGAAUGUUAACUUUGCCUACUGAAGUGUUUGGGGGAACUCCGGAGGUCAU
rnacentral:pre_miRNA from 1 species